CGAAUGCUGACAUAAGUAACGAUAAAGCGGGUGAAAAGCCCGCUCGCCGGAAGACCAAGGGUUCCUGUCCAACGUUAAUCGGGGCAGGGUGAGUCGACCCCUAAGGCGAGGCCGAAAGGCGUAGUCGAUGGGAAACAGGUUAAUAUUCCUGUACUUGGUGUUACUGCGAAGGGGGGACGGAGAAGGCUAUGUUGGCCGGGCGACGGUUGUCCCGGUUUAAGCGUGUAGGCUGGUUUUCCAGGCAAAUCCGGAAAAUCAAGGCUGAGGCGUGAUGACGAGGCACUACGGUGCUGAAGCAACAAAUGCCCUGCUUCCAGGAAAAGCCUCUAAGCAUCAGGUAACAUCAAAUCGUACCCCAAACCGACACAGGUGGUCAGGUAGAGAAUACCAAGGCGCUUGAGAGAACUCGGGUGAAGGAACUAGGCAAAAUGGUGCCGUAACUUCGGGAGAAGGCACGCUGAUAUGU
rnacentral:rRNA from 1 species